ensembl:lncRNA
AGACAGAACUAGAAUGUCUUAAUGAAACAUAAUAGAACACAGAGGAAGACAGAACUAGAAUGUCUUAAUGAAACAUAAUAGAACACAGAGGAAGACAGAACUAGAAUGUCUUAAUGAAACAUAAUAGAACACCCAAUAUGUUAAUGGCCCAGAAUCAUUCCUAGUCAGGACACAACACAUGAUCAGAUUCCUGUCCAUAGUGGCGGUAGGUGUUCCCCUGGUGGACAGGGUACCUGGCCUAUCUACACAGGAAGACUAAACAGAACAUAAGGCCUUCUGGUAACAUGAGGGGAACGUCGGUGGUACUCCGGCCAGAGCUACAUGUGAUGGGGGACAGAAACCAAAAAAAGAUUGAGAACCAAUUCAUGCCUCUACUUAUAGGAGACAUUUCACAUAGCACCCAUUCCUUUUACAGUGCACUACUUUUGACUAUAUAGGGAACAGGGUGCACUAUAUAGGGAAUAGGGUGUUCUAUAUAGGGAUUAGGGUGUACUAUAUAGGGAAUAGGGUGCCAUUUGGGAUGCAUACUACAAAAACAUUUAUUUUACCUAACUAGGCAAGUCAGUUAAGAACAAAUUCUUAUUUUCAAUGACGGCCUAGGAACAUUGGGUUAACUGCCUGUUCAGGGGCAGAAGUACAGAUUUGUACCUUGUCAGCUCGGGGUUUGAACUUGCAACCCUUACUAGUCCAACGCUCUAACCACUCGGCUAUCCUGCCGCCCCACAAUGCACUUGGGCUUUGGUCAAAUGUAGUGCACCAAAUAGGGGAAUAGUAUAAGGGAAUAAGGGAAUAGUGUGAGGUAAUAAGGGAAUAGGGAAUAAGGGAAUAGGGAAUAAGGGAAUAGUGUGAGGGAACAAGGGAAUAAGAAAUAAGGGAAUAGGGAAUAAGGGAAUAGUGUGAGGGAAUAAGGGAAUAAUGUGAGGGAAUAAAGGAAUAUUGUGAGGGAAUAAGGGAAUAGUGUGAGGGAAUAAGGGAAUAGUGUGAGGGAAUAAGGGAAUAGUUUGAGGGAAUAAAGGAAUAUUGUGAGGGAAUAAGGGAAUAGUGUGAGGGAAUAAGGGAAUAGGGAAUAAGGG